AGGUCACUUUGGUGGCCAUGUACUGGUUUCAGCUGGCUUCUUUACUGCAUCCUGUUUUUGUGUGUGUGAGUGUGUGUGUGUAUGACGGAGUCUCUCUCUGUCACUCAGGCUGGAGUGCAGUGGCACGAUCUUGGCUCACUGCAACCUCCGCCUCCCGGGUUCAAGCAAUUCUCCAGCCUCAGCCUCCUGAGUAGCUGGGAUUACAGGCACGCGUAAUGCACCCGGCUAAUUUUUGUA
rnacentral:lncRNA from 10 species